rnacentral:rRNA from 1 species
AUUGAACGCUGGCGGCAGGCCUAACACAUGCAAGUCGAGCGAGCGGCGGACGGGUGAGUAAUGUAUGGGGACUGCCCGAUAGAGGGGGAUAACUACUGGAAACGGUGGCUAAUACCGCAUACUAUCGGAUAACCCAUAUGGGAUUAGCUAGUAGGUGGGGUAAAGGCUCACCUAGGCGACGAUCUCUAGCUGGUCUGAGAGGAUGAUCAGCCACACUGGGACUGAGACACGGCCCAGACUCCUACGGAGGCAGCAGUGGGGAAUCUUGCACAAUGGGCGAAAGCCUGAUGCAGCAAUGCCGCGUGUGUGAAGAAGGUCUUCGGGUUGUAAAACACUUUCAGCAGGGAGGCGGUACCCGCAGAGAAAGCACCGGCUAACUACGUGCCAGCAGCCGCGGUAAUAC